rnacentral:rRNA from 1 species
AUUGAACGCUGGCGGCAGGCCUAACACAUGCAAGUCGAGCGAGCGGCGGACGGGUGCGUAAUGUAUGGGGAUCUGCCUGAUGGCGGGGGAUAACUACUGGAAACGGUAGCUAAUACCGCAUACCAUCAGAUGAACCCAUAUGGGCAUAGCUUGUAGGUAAGGUAACGGCUUACCUAGGCGACGAUCCCUCACUGGUCUGAGAGGAUGACCAGCCACACUGGGACUGAGACACGGCCCAGACUCCUACGGGAGGCAGCAGUGGGGAAUAUUGCACAAUGGGCGCAAGCCUGAUGCAGCCAUGCCGCGUGUAUGAAGAAGGCCUUCGGGUUGUAAAGUACUUUCAGUCGGGAGGCGUUACCGACAGAAGAAGCACCGGCUAACUCCGUGCCAGCAGCCGCGGUAAUUC